AGUAUUCUGCCCCUGUUGCUAACACCAUGAACAACAGGUUCCUGUGCUGUGUGGCCAUUUGCCUCUUGAGAGCCGACCUCAAAGAUGCUGUGGUCACACAGUCCCCAAGACACAGAGUCUUGGGGAUAGGAAAGAAGUUAACUCUACAAUGUUCCCAGGACAUGAAUCAUGUUGGAAUGUAUUGGUAUCUACAGAAUCCAGGAUUUGGACUGCAGCUGAUCUAUUACUCGCUUGGUGCUAAGAGCACUGAAAAAGGAGAUGUCUCUGAGGGAUUUAAGGUAUCUCGUGAUGAAAUAGCACAUUUUCCUCUGACCCUGGAGUUUACCAGUAUCAAGCAAACAUCUACAUACAUCUGUGCCAGCAGUCAAGCCACAGUACUAGACAGCCACAUCCUGUUUGCACAAAAACAACUAAAGCAAGGAAUAAGGAGGACCCCACACUCAAAAUGCUUUACCCCAACCAACAGAAGUCUCCUCUCAAGUUUACACUAA